rnacentral:rRNA from 1 species
AGAGUUUGAUCCUGGCUCAGGAUGAACGCUAGCGGCAGGCUUAACACAUGCAAGUCGAGGGGUAUUGGUUUUCGGACCUAGAGACCGGCGCACGGGUGCGUAACGCGUAUGCAAUCUACCUUUUACAGAGGGAUAGCCCAGAGAAAUUUGGAUUAAUACCUCAUAGUAUGGCGACAUCGCAUGAUGAUGCCAUUAAAGUCACAACGGUAAAAGAUGAGCAUGCGUCCCAUUAGCUAGUUGGUAAGGUAACGGCUUACCAAGGCUACGAUGGGUAGGGGUCCUGAGAGGGAGAUCCCCCACACUGGUACUGAGACACGGGCCAGACUCCUACGGGAGGCAGCAGUGAGGAAUAUUGGACAAUGGGCGCAAGCCUGAUCCAGCCAUGCCGCGUGCAGGAUGACGGUCCUAUGGAUUGUAAACUGCUUUUGUACAGGAAGAAACAACUCUACGUGUAGAGUCUUGACGGUACUGUAAGAAUAAGGAUCGGCUAACUCCGUGCCAGCAGCCGCGGUAAUACGGAGGAUCCAAGCGUUAUCCGGAAUCAUUGGGUUUAAAGGGUCCGUAGGCGGUUUAGUAAGUCAGUGGUGAAAGCCCAUCGCUCAACGGUGGAACGGCCAUUGAUACUGCUAGACUUGAAUUAUUAGGAAGUAACUAGAAUAUGUAGUGUAGCGGUGAAAUGCUUAGAGAUUACAUGGAAUACCAAUUGCGAAGGCAGGUUACUACUAAUGGAUUGACGCUGAUGGACGAAAGCGUGGGUAGCGAACAGGAUUAGAUACCCUGGUAGUCCACGCCGUAAACGAUGGAUACUAGCUGUUGGGAGCGAUCUCAGUGGCUAAGCGAAAGUGAUAAGUAUCCCACCUGGGGAGUACGUUCGCAAGAAUGAAAACUCAAAGGAAUUGACGG